rnacentral:rRNA from 1 species
AUGCGUUUAUUUAACGACUGCAUUGCGGACCUUGCGCUCCGCGAGAUAGCCCGCGUAGGGGCUAGGAUUACGUGGACGAAUAAGCAGGCAGACCCCAUUCGGAGUGUCUUAGAUCGGGUCUUUGUGUCGGCUCAGUGGGAUGUGAUGUUCCCAUUGUGCUCUCUCAAGGUGGUCACUCGGAUUGGCUCCGAUCAUACCCCCCUGCUCUUCUCGUCGGGGGAUGAGCCCCCUAGGACCCGUCGCUUCCACUUUGAGACAUUCUGGCUGGAGCAACCGGGUUUCUUUGAGAUGGUUCGCGACCGCUGGCUAGAGGAGGUCGCGUCCCCACCUCGUGUGUUUUUUGCGGUAGAUGUCUGGCACCAUUGUGCUAAAUUGUCUCGUCGGGCCAUCAAGGGCUGGGGGGAGAACCUUGUUGCUGACCUCUGGGCCCGUAAAGGGGCCCUGCUGGAUCAGAUUACGAUGCUGGAUGACCUUGCUGACGGGUAGGGCUUGUCUCCUGACGACUGGCUUAGGAGAUACGCCCUCGAGGCCUCACUCAUGGACAUUUACAAGAACGAGGAGCUAUUCUGGCAGCGUCGAGGGGGCCAGAACUGGCUUCUCAAGGGGCAUGCGAGCACUGCCUACUUCCAGGAGAUUGCUAAUGGCCGCAGGCAUUAG